GAGUGAAAGAGAUCCUGAAACCGUGUGCCUACAAAUAGUCAGAGCCCGUUAACGGGUGAUGGCGUGCCUUUUGUAGAAUGAACCGGCGAGUUACGAUCCCGUGCGAGGUUAAGCUGAAGAGGCGGAGCCGCAGCGAAAGCGAGUCUGAAUAGGGCGUUUAGUACGUGGUCGUAGACCCGAAACCAGGUGAUCUACCCAUGUCCAGGGUGAAGUUCAGGUAACACUGAAUGGAGGCCCGAACCCACGCACGUUGAAAAGUGCGGGGAUGAGGUGUGGGUAGCGGAGAAAUUCCAAUCGAACCUGGAGAUAGCUGGUUCUCCCCGAAAUAGCUUUAGGGCUAGCCUUAAGUGUAAGAGUCUUGGAGGUAGAGCACUGAUUGGACUAGGGGCCUCAUCGGAUUACCGAAUUCAGUCAAACUCCGAAUGCCAAUGACUUAUCCUUAGGAGUCAGACUGCGAGUGAUAAGAUCCGUAGUCAAAAGGGAAACAGCCCAGACCGCCAGCUAAGGUCCCAAAGUGUGUAUUAAGUGGAAAAGGAUGUGGAGUUGCUUAGACAACUAGGAUGUUGGCUUAGAAGCAGCCACCAUUUAAAGAGUGCGUAAUAGCUCACUAGUCGAGUGACUCUGCGCCGAAAAUGUACCGGGGCUAAAUACACCACCGAAGCUGCGGAUUGAUACCAAUGGUAUCAGUGGUAGGGGAGCGUUCUAAGGACAGUGAAGUCAGACCGGAAGGACUGGUGGAGUGCUUAGAAGUGAGAAUGCCGGUAUGAGUAGCGAAAGACGGGUGAGAAUCCCGUCCACCGAAUGCCUAAGGUUUCCUGAGGAAGGCUCGUCCGCUCAGGGUUAGUCAGGACCUAAGCCGAGGCCGACAGGCGUAGGCGAUGGACAACAGGUUGAUAUUCCUGUACCACCUCUUUAUCGUUUGGAGCAAUGGAGGGACGCAGAAGGAUAGAAGAAGCGUGCGAUUGGUUGUGCACGUCCAAGCAGUUAGGCUGAUAAGUAGGCAAAUCCGCUUAUCGUGAAGGCUGAGCUGUGAUGGGGAAGCUCCUUAUGGAGCGAAGUCUUUGAUUCCCCGCUGCCAAGAAAAGCUUCUAGCGAGAUAAAAGGUGCCUGUACCGCAAACCGACACAGGUAGGCGAGGAGAGAAUCCUAAGGUGUGCGAGAGAACUCUGGUUAAGGAACUCGGCAAAAUGACCCCGUAACUUCGGGAGAAGGGGUGCUUUCUUAACGGAAAGCCGCAGUGAAUAGGCCCAAGCGACUGUUUAGCAAAAACACAGCUCUCUGCGAAGCCGUAAGGCGAAGUAUAGGGGGUGACACCUGCCCGGUGCUGGAAGGUUAAGGAGAGGGGUUAGCGUAAGCGAAGCUCUGAACUGAAGCCCCAGUAAACGGCGGCCGUAACUAUAACGGUCCUAAGGUAGCGAAAUUCCUUGUCGGGUAAGUUCCGACCCGCACGAAAGGUGUAACGAUUUGGGCACUGUCUCAACCAGAGACUCGGUGAAAUUAUAGUACCUGUGAAGAUGCAGGUUACCCGCGACAGGACGGAAAGACCCCGUGGAGCUUUACUGUAGCCUGAUAUUGAAUUUUGGUACAGUUUGUACAGGAUAGGCGGGAGCCUUUGAAACCGGAGCGCUAGCUUCGGUGGAGGCGCUGGUGGGAUACCGCCCUGACUGUAUUGAAAUUCUAACCUACGGGUCUUAUCGACCCGGGAGACAGUGUCAGGUGGGCAGUUUGACUGGGGCGGUCGCCUCCUAAAGUGUAACGGAGGCGCCCAAAGGUUCCCUCAGAAUGGUUGGAAAUCAUUCGUAGAGUGCAAAGGCAUAAGGGAGCUUGACUGCGAGACCUACAAGUCGAGCAGGGACGAAAGUCGGGCUUAGUGAUCCGGUGGUUCCGCAUGGAAGGGACAUCGCUCAACGGAUAAAAGCUACCCCGGGGAUAACAGGCUUAUCUCCCCCAAGAGUCCACAUCGACGGGGAGGUUUGGCACCUCGAUGUCGGCUCAUCGCAUCCUGGGGCUGUAGUCGGUCCCAAGGGUUGGGCUGUUCGCCCAUUAAAGCGGUACGCGAGCUGGGUUCAGAACGUCGUGAGACAGUUCGGUCCCUAUCCGUCGUGGGCGUAGGAAAUUUGAGAGGAGCUGUCCUUAGUACGAGAGGACCGGGAUGGACGCACCGCUGGUGUACCAGUUGUUCUGCCAAGGGCAUAGCUGGGUAGCUAUGUGCGGAAGGGAUAAGUGCUGAAAGCAUCUAAGCAUGAAGCCCCCCUCAAGAUGAGAUUUCCCAUAGCGUAAGCUAGUAAGAUCCCUGAAAGAUGAUCAGGUUGAUAGGUUCGAGGUGGAAGCAUGGUGACAUGUGGAGCUGACGAAUACUAAUAGAUCGAGGACUUAACCAUAUAA
rnacentral:rRNA from 1 species